rnacentral:rRNA from 1 species
CGAACGGCAGCAUGAUCUAGCUUGCUAGAUUGAUGGCGAGUGGCGAACGGGUGAGUAAUACAUCGGAACGUGCCCUGUAGUGGGGGAUAACUAGUCGAAAGAUUAGCUAAUACCGCAUACGACCUGAGGGUGAAAGUGGGGGACCGCAAGGCCUCAUGCUAUAGGAGCGGCCGAUGUCUGAUUAGCUAGUUGGUGAGGUAAAGGCUCACCAAGGCGACGAUCAGUAGCUGGUCUGAGAGGACGAUCAGCCACACUGGGACUGAGACACGGCCCAGACUCCUACGGGAGGCAGCAGUGGGGAAUUUUGGACAAUGGGCGAAAGCCUGAUCCAGCAAUGCCGCGUGUGUGAAGAAGGCCUUCGGGUUGUAAAGCACUUUUGUCCGGAAAGAAAUGGCUCUGGUUAAUACCUGGGGUCGAUGACGGUACCGGAAGAAUAAGGACCGGCUAACUACGUGCCAGCAGCCGCGGUAAUACGUAGGGUCCAAGCGUUAAUCGGAAUUACUGGGCGUAAAGCGUGCGCAGGCGGUUGUGCAAGACCGAUGUGAAAUCCCCGAGCUUAACUUGGGAAUUGCAUUGGUGACUGCACGGCUAGAGUGUGUCAGAGGGGGGUAGAAUUCCACGUGUAGCAGUGAAAUGCGUAGAGAUGUGGAGGAAUACCGAUGGCGAAGGCAGCCCCCUGGGAUAACACUGACGCUCAUGCACGAAAGCGUGGGGAGCAAACAGGAUUAGAUACCCUGGUAGUCCACGCCCUAAACGAUGUCAACUAGUUGUUGGGGAUUCAUUUCCUUAGUAACGUAGCUAACGCGUGAAGUUGACCGCCUGGGGAGUACGGUCGCAAGAUUAAAACUCAAAGGAAUUGACGGGGACCCGCACAAGCGGGGGAUGAUGUGGAUUAAUUCGAUGCACCGCGAAAAACCUUACCUACCCUUGACAUGCCACUAACGAAGCACAGAUGCAUUAGGGGCUCGAAAG